AAUGAACGUUGGCGGCGUGGAUUAGGCAUGCAAGUCGAGCGCGAUAUUUUAAAAAGAUACUUCGGUUGAUUUUUAAAAUGGAAAGCGGCGAAAGGGAGAGUAACGAGUAGAUAACGUACCCAGGGGUUCGGGAUAGCUGCGGGAAACUGCAGGUAAUACCGAAUAAUGUCUCCGGACCAAAAAUUUAUUGCCCUUGGAGCGGUCUGCUUACUAUUAGUUUGUUGGUGGGGUAAUGGCCUACCAAGACUAAGAUGGUUAGCGGGUGUGAGAGCAUGGCCCGUCUCACUGGGACUGAGACACUGCCCAGACACCUACGGGUGGCUGCAGUCGAGAAUCUUCCGCAAUGGACGAAAGUCCGACGGAGCGACGCCGCGUGAUGGACGAAGGCCUUCGGGUUGUAAACAUCUGUCGUAGGGGAGGAAAUUUUGACCGAUCCUAGGAGGAAGCACAGGCUAAGUUCG
rnacentral:rRNA from 1 species